AGAUUGAACGCUGGCGGCGUGCUUAACACAUGCAAGUCGAGCGGUAACGCGGGAGCAAUCCUGGCGACGAGCGGCGAACGGGUGAGUAAUGCUUGGGAAUCUGCCCAUUAGUGGGGAACAACCAGCCGAAAGGUUGGCUAAUACCGCAUACGCCCUACGGGGGAAAGCGGGGGAUCGAAAGACCUCGCGCUAAUGGAUGAGCCCAAGUCGGAUUAGCUUGUUGGUAGGGUAACGGCCUACCAAGGCGACAAUCCGUAGCUGGUCUGAGAGGACGACCAGCCACACUGGGACUGAGACACGGCCCAGACUCCUACGGGAGGCAGCAGUGGGGAAUAUUGGACAAUGGGGGCAACCCUGAUCCAGCGACGCCGCGUGUGUGAAGAAGGCCUGCGGGUUGUAAAGCACUUUUAGUGGGAUGAAAGCUCAGGGUUAACACCUCUGGGUCUUGACCUAACCACAGAAAAGCACCGGCUAACUCUGUGCCAGCAGCCGC
rnacentral:rRNA from 1 species